GGAUUCCCCUAGUAACUGCGAGUGAAGCGGGAAAAGCUCAAAUUUAAAAUCUGGCAGUCUCUGGCUGUCCGAGUUGUAAUCUAGAGAAGUAAUGCCCGUGCUGGACCGUGUAUAAGUCUCCUGGGAUGGGGCGUCAUAGAGGGUGAGAAUCCCGUCUUUGACACGGACUACCAGUGCAUUGUGGUAUGCUCUCAAAGAGUCGAGUUGUUUGGGAAUGCAGCUCAAAAUGGGUGGUAAAUUCCAUCUAAAGCUAAAUAUUGGCGAGAGACCGAUAGCGAACAAGUACCGUGAGGGAAAGAUGAAAAGAACUUUGGAAAGAGAGUUAAACAGUACGUGAAAUUGCUGAAAGGGAAACGCUUGAAGUCAGUCGCGUUGGCCGGGAAUCAGCCUUGCUUCUGCACGGUGUACUUUCUGGUUGACGGGUCAGCAUCAAUUUUGACCGCUGGAAAAAGGCCUGGGGAAUGUGGCAGCUUCGGCUGUGUUAUAGCCCCUAGUCGCAUACAGUGGUUGGGAUUGAGGAACUCAGCACGCCGCAAGGCCGGGUUUCGACCACGUUCGUGCUUAGGAUGCUGGCAUAAUGGCUUUAAGCGACCCGUCUUGAAACACGGACCAAGGAGUCUAACAUGCCUGCGAGUAUUUGGGUGGAAAACCCAAGUGCGUAAUGAAAGUGAAAGUUGAGAUCCCUGUCGCGGGGAGCAUCGACGCCCGGACCAGAACUUUUGGGACGGAUCCGCGGUGGAGCAUGUAUGUUGGGACCCGAAAGAUGGUGAACUAUGCCUGAAUAGGGUGAAGCCAGAGGAAACUCUGGUGGAGGCUCGUAGCGAUUCUGACGUGCAAAUCGAUCGUCAAAUUUGGGUAUAGGGGCGAAAGACUAAUCGA
rnacentral:rRNA from 1 species